GAUGAACGCUGGCGGCGUGCUUAACACAUGCAAGUCGAACGAAGCACCUUAUUCUGAUUUCUUCGGAAUGAAAAAUUUGGUGACUGAGUGGCGGACGGGUGAGUAACGCGUGGGUAACCUGCCUCAUACAGGGGGAUAACAGUUAGAAAUGACUGCUAAUACCGCAUAAGACCACAGCACCGCAUGGUGCAGGGGUAAAAACUCCGGUGGUAUGAGAUGGACCCGCGUCUGAUUAGGUAGUUGGUGGGGUAACGGCCUACCAAGCCGACGAUCAGUAGCCGACCUGAGAGGGUGACCGGCCACAUUGGGACUGAGACACGGCCCAAACUCCUACGGGAGGCAGCAGUGGGGAAUAUUGCACAAUGGGGGAAACCCUGAUGCAGCGACGCCGCGUGAGCGAUGAAGUAUUUCGGUAUGUAAAGCUCUAUCAGCAGGGAAGAAAAUGACGGUAC
rnacentral:rRNA from 1 species